GACGAACGCUGGCGGCGUGCUUAACACAUGCAAGUCGAACGGAAAGGCCCUUUCGGGGGUACUCGAGUGGCGAACGGGUGAGUAACACGUGGGUGAUCUGCCCUGCACUUCGGGAUAAGCUUGGGAAACUGGGUCUAAUACCGGAUAGGACUACGAAUCGCAUGGUUUGUGGUGGAAAGCUUUUGCGGUGUGGGAUGGGCCCGCGGCCUAUCAGCUUGUUGGUGGGGUGAUGGCCUACCAAGGCGACGACGGGUAGCCGGCCUGAGAGGGUGUCCGGCCACACUGGGACUGAGAUACGGCCCAGACUCCUACGGGAGGCAGCAGUGGGGAAUAUUGCACAAUGGGCGCAAGCCUGAUGCAGCGACGCCGCGUGGGGGAUGACGGCCUUCGGGUUGUAAACCUCUUUCACCAUCGGCGAAGCCGGGAGCUUUUGUUUCUGGUGACGGUAGGUGGAGAAGAAGCACCGGCCAACUACGUGCCAGCAGCCGCGGUAACAC
rnacentral:rRNA from 1 species